UACGGAGGGUGCAAGCGUUAUCCGGAAUCACUGGGCGUAAAGGGCGCGUAGGCGGUCUGUUAAGUCCGAUGUUAAAGACCGGGGCUCAACCCCGACAUGGCGUUGGAUACUGGCAGGCUAGACGACUGGAGAGGAAAGUAGAAUUACCAGUGUAGCGGUGAAAUGCGUAGAUACUGGUAGGAAUACCCAUUGCGAAGGCAGCUUUCUGGACAGUCCGUGACGCUGAGGCGCGAAAGUGUGGGGAGCAAACCGGAUUAGAAACCCCCGUAGUCC
rnacentral:rRNA from 1 species